rnacentral:lncRNA from 10 species
GAGAGCGUGAGUUUCCGCGUCUGUUUGGUCCGGCUGCUGUCGUUGGUUGUGAGCGGCAUCUCUCGCCGUUUCCCCGGGCUGCGGGAGCUGGCGGCCGGGCUGGGGCUGCUGGGCGGAGCUUUGUUUGGAGACAGUCUCUUUCUGCCACCCAGGCUGGAGUGCAAUGGUGCAAUCUUGGAUCACUGUAACCGCUGCCUCCAGGGUUCAAACGAUUCUCCUGCCUCAGCUUCCCAGGUAGCUGGGAUUACAGGCGUCUGCCACCACGCCCAGCUAAUUUUUGUAUUUUUAGUAGAGACGGUUUCACCACGUUUGCCAAGCUGGUCCCGAACUCCUGACCUCAGGGAGCCUCUUAAACAGAAUCUUACCUGUAAAACUCAGGAGCCGAGAAGCUUUAAGAACAGUGAGGUUGAAGGGCACAGGCUCUUGGUCCUUGGCAGCGAUAUUAGGAGGCGUGCCUAGGGAACCUCGGAUUCCGGGGAGCUGGACGUGAAACUCUGUGGUGGAAUAGAAAUCCUCAGGGCAUGAGCUAUACCUAAAACGUAAUGGUAUUAAGAAUUCU